ensembl:lncRNA
AAUUUUACAUUUUCAGCUGUUAACUCAAUGAAAUGUUCUAGUAUUUAAGUAAGACCAGCUGCGUCGUCUGAUAAACUGAGAAGGUGUUAAGCGAUAUCGUUGGUCUUGCAUCAAUUUAUGUUAAUUGGGAACAACACGCUUUGUAUUUAUACCCAACUAAAAGAGUCGCGAAACAUGCGUUGGUGCAGCUCCCUGUUUAUGAACGAAAUUUCCAAAAUGAGGCAUAAACCAAACAGGGAUGUUUUACUUUUGUGUCUUGGCUUUCUUUGUUUCAGCCAAAUAUGCUGUGUAAGCCUUGGAAUCAUGCGAAGACAAGAGAGACACAGAGAGGAAAAAACAGAUGAUGUUAGAGUGGGGACCAUUAUGUUCGGCAGAGGAGAUAUUCCUGGCCCAGUGAAAGGUGAAGGAACUCGACACAUUGGCGAGGACACUGCAGAGGAUGGCUAUAACAUUCAAGCCGACGCUGGUGGGUUGGUGGAUGGACAAGAUGUCAUUGAUGACUCCAGUUCUUCUAAGGCAGCCUGGGCUAGUAUGCGACCAACUGUGUUAUGUACUAAGGACCUCAUGAAGUUCUCGGCACAAGGCCCAGGAUCCUCUUCACUUCAGCUAGACAGAGCAGGAGGAAAACCCCUUUCGCUAAACCAGCUGCCGCAGGACUGUGGUUACUCUGUGUACAGGACUGAACUGGGCCUUCUGUUUCUCAUCCAAUAUGAUGGUUGUGAUGUUAUAAAUCAGGUAGGCUUUGUCAUCUGUAGACUAGAAAGUGACAAGUACAAAUGGCGUAGGAGUAAAUGCGC